rnacentral:lncRNA from 1 species
GCACACUUAACCAGUUGCUCGUAGAAAUGGACGGCUUUGGUACCACCUCAGGGAUAGUUGUGCUUGCUGGCACUAAUAGGCCCGACAUCUUGGACAAAGCCUUGUUGAGGCCUGGUCGAUUCGAUAGGCAAAUCUCCAUUGAUAAACCUGAUAUCAAAGGCCGUGAACAAAUAUUCCAGAUAUACCUGAAAAAGAUUAAGCUUGAUCAUGAACCUUUGUAUUAUUCACAAAGGCUUGCAGCCCUUACACCUGGAUUUGCUGGAGCGGACAUAGCCAAUGUUUGUAAUGAAGCUGCUCUCAUUGCUGCCAGGAAUGAGUCAACUGUGGUCACCAUGGAACAUUUUGAGGCAGCUAUAGAUAGGAUUAUAGGUGGUUUGGAGAAGAAGAACAGGGUAACGUAGCUUCUCUCUCUUCCACUCCAUCAUGCUGGUUAUUGGUCUCUUCUUUUUUUUUCUAUUUCAGCGACACUGUUCUCUUGCACACAUGUUCUUUGUUUCUAGGAUCCUCUCUCCCAACGACCCAACUAAGAAUUCCAUAUUGUCUUUGGCUGGCUUGCUGUGCUGACUGCUUAUUGAAUGGAAACCAUCAUAGCUUUUUUUCUGUGAUGAUUGAGAUGGGUGUGUUAGUAGGUUGUUCCAACUGAUGCUUUUUGGUCGUAGCAUUUUCGUAUUCUUUUUACUCAUCUUCUCAUGUGGUCAUUGGUUGAAAGUAAAGCUAGAAAAUUAUUUUGAUGAGUGUCACCAAACAGCGAGCUUGCGCUUCAGUUAUUGAUGCUUGUCUUUACUGUUCACAGUCUUGCCAUUUAGUAUCACAAACAGUGAGAACGUCUUUCUCUUGGCAAAUUCUUUGAUCCUUGAUCUUGUGGGUUUUGUUGCUUUUGGCAUGGAUUGAUGUGAAUAUGAUUUCAAAUAUUGACUUUGUGAUUUGGACAUGUAUAAAAGGAGAUAAAUCAAUCUAAACUUUUGUUUUGGAGCAGGUAAUAAGCAAACUAGAGCGUCGCACAGUUGCAUAUCAUGAGUCAGGUCAUGCUGUGGCUGGUUGGUUCUUGGAGCAUACGGAGCCUUUACUGAAAGUGACAAUAGUCCCUCGCGGCACUGCUGCUCUAGGAUUUGCCCAAUAUGUGCCUAAUGAGAAUCUUCUCAUGACCAAGGAACAGCUUUUUGACAUGACAUGUAUGACCCUUGGCGGACGAGCAGCUGAACAGGUGAUUUAUGGGACUUCAUAUUUGUCCUUCACUUUAUGGAUAGCAGAAAUGCAUUAAAUUUUUUUCUUUCCAUCUUUGCCCGUUGAAUUGAAGAAGAUCAACGAGGCAAAUAUGUUCUUGUAAGGUUCUAAGUUUUAAACCUCGAUGUUGUUGAGUUGAAUAUUCAUGUAAUUUGCAGGUUUUGUUGGGUAAAAUAUCAACGGGAGCUCAAAAUGACUUGGAGAAGGUGACGAAAAUGACCUAUGCCCAGGUAGCAAUAUAUGGCUUCAGCGACAAGGUGGGACUCCUGUCCUUUCCUCAGAGAGAAGAUGGAUUUGAGAUGACCAAGCCCUACAGCAGCAAGACUGCAGCACUUAUUGAUGGGGAGGUGCGUGAGGUGGUAAACAAGGCAUAUGAGCGUACAUUGGAGCUAAUAACGGAGCACAAAGAGCAUGUUGCUCAGAUUGCUGAGCUGUUGCUUGAAAAGGAAGUUCUUCAUCAGGAAGAUUUGCUUCGUGUUUUAGGCGAGCGACCAUUUAAAUCGAGUGAAAUGACCAACUAUGACAGAUAUAAGCUAGGGUUUGAAGAGGAAGAGAAGAGUACAGAGACUCCAGAGACUGGUGCAGUGGAGGAUGACGAAUCGCCUCCUCCUUUGGAUCCACAGGUAGUCCCAACUUAGUUCUCAGGAAUUCUAGCUGAGACUAUUUUUGUAAAUGAUUUGGAUCGUUUCCCCGGAGUCUUUUCUGGAGCAAAAAGAGAAAACAAGAGAACUGCACUGAAUAGGAAAAAAUCUCUCUGCCACACCACACAAUUGCAGAUUGGGUAUUAUACUCUUAUCACCAAUUCCUACGCCAUUCCACAGCUCAACGGUUGAUUCAAUCAAGGCUGAAGGGGAUAUCACCCAACUGCGUGAUUGGGAAGCUCAUACCCUAUCACUAGAUUAAAAGCCACUUAUCGGUCAAGGAUCAUGGCCUGAAAAAUAAUACGAGAAAAAGGAGAAAAGGAUAUACGUAUGGAAUAACUUGGUCCUAUGAGAUAUGCCGGAUUCAUAUGAUCUGAUGCAGAGAUGAUUGGACUUGAUUUGUAAGGGUACUGGGGUGGUGUUGCUGUAUGUACUUUAAAAUGUAUAUUUAGAAUAAUCAUGAGGGCACUUUCGAGCACAUUGCUUUUUUCACAGAGCAAAGCAAAUAGAGAUAUCUCUGAGGCAGAUUGGUUUGGAAAGGGUGUGAUUCAGCAAUUACUCUUAGAGGGCGAACUCUGGUUGUUAGUGUCACGCCCUGACCCUCCGAGCGUGUGCCCAUCCUGGCUUGGUCGAUUAAAUAGUGAUGUACGCAUAGCCGAUCUAUUCAUUUUAAUACGCAUGCGGAAGUGAUUAAUUAAUCUCUAGACAGCAAGAAGAUGGGAUAGAUUAGUAAGGCCAUAAUUUUCGUAUCAACACAUUAUUAAAACCACAAAUUGGUUUUGCAAACAGAGGCCAACUCUAGCGUUUAAAUAUAGGAAAUCUUUUGAGCCAUCCAUGGUCCUGACCCUUCUGUUUCAAGCUCCGGGAUUCUUUACCUUAUGGACCUGAAAAUAUUAUUCCACAACGGGGUAAAAUAACGUCUUAGUAAGUUCAACCUCCUUAGACCUGAUUAGAAAGAAAAUACGCCCAAAGGGCUGCCUAAGCACAAACAUGAGUCAGAUGGGCUGUCUAAGCACAAACACGAGUCAGUGGAUUUACCUUAAUUUUAGUUCUUUUCUGCAAGUCAAUACAGUUCAUAUCACAACCAAUCAUUACACAAUUAAUUUAUUCAGCCAAAUUGAAUCAUCGAUCAAUUGACUCAGUUGAUCACAUGUUAUGAAGACCAUUCCCCAGUCAUCUCAAUCCAUUUUAUUUAUGAGUUCAACCAUAAUCUAUGAUUGCUUACUUUAUGCCGAUAAUAGAUAGUAUAACUUACCAAAAGUUGGCCUUAAAUACUAAGAUAAUAUAGACUAGAAGUUGCCAGUCAUACUUUUAUAGUAUGCUGAAAAUUAUACAUGCUUGCUAGAAGCUGCCAGCUAUACUUUUAUAGUAUGCUGAAAAUUGAUCAUUUAAUCAAAUGACCAUUUUUUUAUUCUUCUCGACCAUUUUUUUAUAAAAAUAUCGUGUGUGGAUACACGAUUGACUUUGGCAAAAAAUACAAUAUUUUCACUUUUGAAAAUCCCACUAUUUUCAAUAAUCUAUAAACUCAUUUUUGGCGCUGUAAACUGACGCCCAGUGAUUUUCCAAUUAAUUACAUAAAUUAAAUAAUUUUAGGAAUAAAUUCCCAAAAGCACAAUUCACACACAAUCAACACAAAAUAACAGUCAAAUAAUUAAACAUAUAUUUUUUUUUGUGACCCAGAGAAAUCCCGCAUAGCCGACAACUGAGAGUAAACCCUUGGGGAGACCACGCACCCCGGGUAAGUCGCCAAAUGUCUCCACCUGCCUCCCUGCAACGCAAGUUGCAGGUGCUUCGAACUCCGGCUUCCAGCGUGGAAGUCCUGGAGCCUACCAGCGGAGCCACCCUCGCGGGUGGUCAAAUAAUUAAACAUAUUAUACCAUUGCAAUCAGCAUAAAAUUCUAGUCAUUGAUUAUUCCGGUCUAAUUUUCAAAAAAUAAAAAAAUAAUUAAAUAAUUACGAAAAUUAAUUAAUAAAUGCAAAAAAUGCAUACUUAGGCCCGUAAAGCUUGACAACAUCUAUGGGCGUUAACUCUUUUCCUUCACCGCAUCGAGCGACAAUUUCGUAAUGGGGUUUCGAGAUUCUGCGGCUGCAUUGCUUGAGUACGAACAUUUGAGAGGAGGUAACAGAUGGGUCCUCGCCCUCUUCACCGGUACUAACGAAACAUUUGAGACCUUCGGAAAAAGGAACGAGCUUUGGGAGGAAUUGGCGGUCCGGUCGAGGUGAAAACCGCGCGCGUGUUCGCCGCAGCGCAGGUGUUUGAUGAAAUGCCCGUGAGAGCGCGCUCUCUGCAAGUCGAGCCUCGACCCAACUGGGGCUGUUCUCGAGUGAAGAAGCACCGAAGCGGCCUCCAUGCUUUCUCCUGAGAGGGCAAGGAUUUGCCAGCUUCACGGCAAGCUCAACAUUGAUCCGGCGAAACCAUCGUGCAGGAAGUGGGAAACGUGAGGAUUGCAGGCAACUGAUCAAUCGGCCAGGGAACUCGAGAAGGUAAAUGGGCUUUUGGUUCGUGGGGAUUGUGGAUCGAGCCCUCUCCUUGAGCUGUCCUCAUUUUGGAAAGGGGAAGAGCUACACGAUAAAAGCUUCUUUAUCUUGUCUUGGGCCCAAGGAAGCUCCAUUAUUCUUUGAGAUAACCACUUGAGAUGAAUUUUAUUUUAAAUAAAAGCCUAAAAUAUCUCAUUUCCUCCAAUAGAAGUAUGAAAUAGAUCUUAUUUCAAAUAAAAAUUUAAAAUACUAUUAUUUUCUUAAAUAAAAACGUGAAGUGGCCUCAUUUUCUCAAAAAAGGAGAUGAAGUGAAUCUUGUUUUUAAUUAAAAACUUGAAAUGCCAUUAUUUUCUCAAAUAAAGAUUUUAAAUGGAUGUUAUUUCAAUUAAAAGUCUAAAAUGGUCAUUGAAAUCAAGCCAUUUCUUGAGAUUAACAUUAGGGGUGUGUAACCGGACCAGGUAUAUCUGGUUUUCAGACCGGCCCACCUAGAAAAAAUAGGGUUGGGAAUCGGUUCCCAUUGAAACCGGUUCCCAAAAUUCGGAAUCGGUUUAAAUCGGUUUGGGAAUAGGUUCCGAGUGAUUACCCACCCGGAAACCGGUUCCUGGACCGGUUUUGGAAUUGGUUCCCGAACCGGUUUUGUAAGUAAAUGUCCAAAACUUUUUUUUUUCCCCUUGAUUUCUAUUCUUACCUCCGCAAUCACACGGUGUUUUUUCUCAUGAUUCUCUCAAACACGCAAUGCACUCCUCCUUUGUCAUUCCUUUUCCUCACUUGCUUCCCUCUCUCAUCAGCUCCCUCUCGCCCAAUCUGAUGGAUGGACCCACCGAAUUCUUGUAUAUCACAUGGAUUGACUCGCCUAAUUUCUCUUUUAUAGAAGGAGUUAUGAUUGCAUAAAUGAAUAUAGUAGUUGGGGGAAUAAGACUAAUAUUAGACCCAUGUUUAUUGCUAAUUCUUUGACUUAUGAUUUUAUUUAUUAUAAUUAGCUUUGUGAAUCCUUAAUUUUUUGUUUAGUCAAAAAGUUCAUGUAUUUAUUUAUUACAAGUGCUUAAUGUUUUAAUACAAAUUAGGAAAAUUACGUUAUUUUCUCCUAUAUUAAUCUAAAAUUUGAAGUUGUAUAGGAUAUCGAGAGAUUGCAAAACAGGUUUCAGUGGAAACAUGAUUGAUCCUGAAACCGAAUUAGAAAAAUAGGGUAGGUUAGGUAUAAGGUCUAAUACAAACAGGGUCGGAUAUAGAGUACAAAAAAGAGGAACCGGUUAUAGCAGGGUUAGAUAUAGGGUCUAGGUCUAGACCUUACCUACCGUGAACCCGAUCACCCCUAAUUAAUAUGACAAGUUAAGGGCAUUUUCGUCUUUUUUUUUUUAAAAAAAAAUUUCUUUCCUUUUUAUGCUUUUUUCUAUAAAUGGCUUGACUUCAACGACUAGUUAAGGGCAAUUAUGUCAUUCAAUUUUUAUUUUAUUUUAUUUCCUUUUUAUGUUUUUUCUAUAUAAAAUAUGAACUCAAAAAGAAUAAAAAGCUAAUCGAAGAGAAAAAAAAUAAAAAAAGCCCAAGCCACAUGUGGCGACUGCCCCAUUACCGAUGGGGCGGUGGCCCUAGGUAGGGGAGGGUUGCUAGCCCUCUUAUCUGUAUCUAAUUCUCUUUUUUUAAAAUUUUAAUUGUUAUUUUUUCUUUUUUUAGUUUUUUUCGAAAAAAAAGAAAGAAAAUAAAAUGAUAAAGGACGAAAAUACAUUUGACUAGUCAGUGAGGUCAGAAGCCCUUCUUUGAGAUAAAUGUGAUUAUUUUGGAUCAUUAUUUGGAAUAAAGUCAAUUUCAAAUCCUUUAUUUGAAAUUUUCUUCUAAACUUGGGUUAGUUUUUCUACCAAAGAGAGAAAUGGACAUAUGGUGCUCGCUGGUCGUGGCUUAAGAAGGCAACUGUUUGCAUUUUGUGGGGAUAAGUAGUUUCCAUUAUCUUCCACGUCAUUAGAAAAACCAUGGGUUUGUCUUGCUCCUCAAGCAGGCAAAAAGUUCUCCUUUGCCAGCGCUGACGAUAGCCUAUUACGUGCCUCCUAAACGGGAUCGCAAAAAGACCCGCGACCCAGGAACUCACAAUUGUUUUGCUCUUUUUCAUUCUAUCACGAAGAGGCCUGACAUACAACACAGUGUAAGGAUCUGAUUUCCCAACGAGGUCCUUGUUUGUUAGCUCCUUUGCUUGGUUUCGCUUCCAACAUUCCAACAGGCUUCAACUCUAGGUACUGAACAAGAAAAGGUAUUAACCCUCCUAGCAUAAGGACAAAACAUUGAGAUUUUGCAACCUCGUUUCCAAAGAACCAAUAUACUAUUAACAUGAGGCUAAAAUUACAAUAACAGCUAUACUACGCAAGUUGUAAUCCAGCAUUCCUCUUGAUCAAAUUACUUUCAAGCACUAUCUUCUCCAAGAUCGCAUGUGCAAGCUCCAUACAAGAAGAUACUAUUUGAAGAACUAGAAAUGGUUUGAUCCACAUCUGCAAUAUCAUAGUUAGGACUUUCCCACAUUAGGCCUAAAUAUUUUGAUGUUGAUCCUAGAAUAUAUUCUUCAUUUUUCCAUCUUUUUCCAUCUUUCAUUGAAGCUAAAGAAGAAGGAGGCAGCUCAGAUCCAAUCACCAAUAGCUUGUAAGGGAUGUCCCAACUGCUAUUCUAACCAUUCCUCUCAUAAGGAGAUUAUUGUGUUACCUGCUUUGAAUGCAUUUGUAACGAAGAAAAAUGAGUCAAUGAACCAAACUUGUAGUUCAGUAAAUUUCUUCUACAUCUCAAUUUGCUUCACAUUUACUGGGAUUUCCCAUAUUCACCGCUUUCUUAAUCUGACAAGUCACCGUUUCCUAAGAACCAAUAUAAUAGGUUGGUUGCACCCAUUGGACAGGGUGAAAACUUGGUCUAACAUUGAUAGCACCUGUGUGCUAUGCGGAUAACAUGAAGAAUCUCGAAUGUACUUGCUCUUUAAGUGUGUAUUCUUAAAGCAGAUUUUGGAAACAAGACUCUUACCGCUGAUGUUAAGUGUUUGUGGAGAAAUUGGCGAGUUCUUGUUGGCUAGCUUUGCUGUAAUCCGGUGGCAUGGUAUUUGAGGUUGCAUCUUGUUUUUCUGGGUAGUAUUUUACUGUUGCUACUGGUAGUGUACAUGGGGAAGACUAUUAUGUAAUCCGCCGGCCACCUCCCCCUUUCGGGAGAGAACCUUCAUCUUCCUGUAACCUAGGGGAAGGCAUCGCGGGAAUCUGGGCGGCCUGCCCUUACCCCCCGUAAGGGGGGUUUGUGGCCGGGUCAGGCCAUGGGGCCGGUAUCUUUAUCGAGGCCCGGAUCCUGACCUCUAUCCAGUCAUGGUAUUUGAGUUUGCAUCUUGUUUUUCUGGGUAGUAUUUUGCUGUUGCUACUGGUAGUGUAGAUGGGGAAGACUAUUAUGUCAUGUUGUCAUUCGGUGCGCGGGGUCAUCAGCUUGAAAGUCAACCUGAUGAAUUGUUCUCAAGUUAUCAAGCUUUCCUAUUAUGAUAGAUUGCUCAAAGGGAUCUCCCAUCCUUUACAUCGAGCAGGAACGAAAGUUCCCCUUAGUGAUGGACAGUGCCAAGUAGAAGGGCAGUUGCUCAACAGAUAAAUGUUACUUUAGGGAUAGCAGACUAAUCUUAUCCAAAAGUUCACAAAUACAGGAAGGUUUGGCACCAUGAUCCAGCUGUAUAUGUGGGACAGUAUGCUGCAAUGGACUUGUACGGGAUGUGACCUCCCUUGUUUUUUUUUUUUUUCCACAGGUUGUCCAAUAAAAUGAAGACUUAAUAAAAAAAGAUAGUGUAAAUUUUGUGCUCAAUGAAUAAAAAAAGAUAGUGUAAAAAAAGAAAAAAGAAUGCGGUUCAAACAGUCAACGACACGUGGAAAUUUUAUAUACUCUAUUCAUCUUACCAGUUUCCGAAAACCAUUCUCCAAUGAGCUUAUCCGUUGCUGCAUUGCUUUGAGAGGACUCUCCAUAUUCUCCACCGAGCUACACCAUGGAAAUUGACACCGUGAACAACUGCUGUCUUGUGGACUCAUUCAUACAAAUAGACAAAUAUCCAUUCAUAACACUUUAGGUACUAGUGCAUGUGAAUGUCAGAAUCAAUUACCAGACUAAUCAGAUGCAUUCCCUUGAUCUAACGCGACAUAGAAAAGUCAACAUAAAGCUGGGAUACAUAUUAAUCCAGUUCAUAGAUAGCAGAAGCAAGUAAAGUUAGUUAGCAGCUAUCUCUAAAUGCACCACUUUCAGCGAUAAAAAGAGGAAAAAAAAUAAAGAAAAGCUAUGCGCAGGUAUGACACUUUGCCAAACAGAAUCAUGGAUUGAUGGCACAUGAUACUUGAUGAUUUUUUUAGUUGGAGAGACAAUAUGGAUCACAAUUCUACUAGAGGAAUCACUUGAUGCAUAUAAGAUACUGCCAACAAACCAAUUGAACUAUAUUCACCUUUGAAGAUUGUUAGCCCAGCGAGAUAUAAGAAGCUCCACCACUUUUCCGAUCUGUCCAGCAAAGAGCAAUAGAAGAACAUAAGCAAAAAUCAUCUGUCAUGUAUCCGUCACAUUCUAGUUUCACAUCACAGAUAUCUUUUUGUCCUACUACGUGCAAACUGUCAUUGACCACAUAUUCCAGGAUUCAAGCAGAUAAUUAUGUCCAGGGCACUUCUUUGAAAUUUUGUAUCUUCUUUUGAUCCAUACUCUCCAUAACAACAUGAAAAGCCUAAAUCAUGUUCUCAGCAGAAACUUUUCACACGAAAACCCCAGAAUUGUCAGCAGGUCAUUUUUACCACUCAAACAAUAGUUCUCUAUAUAUCUUGCAGCAAGUUACUCAUGCGGAUUUCUAUCCAGAAACUGACUGGACUUCUAAUCGAAGAAAUCAGCAAUCGAUAUACAAUGACAACAGUAUUUGUAUGUCCAAGUAGGCUACUUUACUUGUCUUACCUCUCUCUGGCCAUCCUCCAACAUAAAACAACUACUUGGCACGAAACCCCUCUCAGACCCUUUCCAUUCUUGACUGUGUGGAGAUCAGCAAAAGAAAGAACAAAAAAAGGCAAGAUAGGAUAAUUUAGCAAGCAGGAGAGCAAAGGGAAUGAUAACAGAUCACUUGCUAGGUAAAAAAAUCUAACAGGGUUCAAUUCCAAUAAGAAGAAAGUCCUGCAACUGGCGUAAUGCGAAAUCGCAUGGCAGAUUCAAGACGACAACAUUUGAUAUAUGUAAUUUUUCACAUUAAAAGUGUGUUUGUUUCACGGAAGACGUAAUGUUUUUAAAAAAUGUUUUCCGGGAAACCAUUUUCUAAGAAAAUGGUUAGUUUUCCUUUGUUUGGUAAUACAUAACUGAAAGUAUUUUCUGAUAUUUGGAUCGCAUUUGAAAAAUGAUUUAACAAUUGACAAUACUGUGCCUCUUACUUCUAAAUUAAUUUAUUGAGUCCAUGUUACUUUAUAAACAGAUUUUUCUUGAUCGGAUUAGUAAAUCUAGAAUUUGAACCUGUAAAAUGAAAAGGAAACCUAAAUUCACAUGUAUUUUUUUUUUCCUGAAAAUGGACAUGAUUUGAGAUCUUUUAUAUAUAACAUUAUAUUAAUUUGUAUUUUUUCAUGAUAUUAAGUAGGAAGUAAAGGAAGCAAAAAGAAAGAAAAAGGGAGAAAGGAGGAAAAAAUCACCAUCUAUCCAUAUAAUCGGCACUAGCAAGCUAAAAUCUCUUUCUUUCCUUUUCUUAUUAUAGAUUUGAAUGUUUCAAAAGGUUGUGCUUCUCUUUAAAUAAGAGGCAAGAAACUUGGAAAAUAAAUAAAAGAAAUACAUCUAAAAAGAAAAUAAAAAAAUCUUAGAAGAAACGGUCCUUUUCCAGCAUAGACAUAAAUCGAUCCCCCAAAUUUGAAGCCCCCGCUGGCGCACGACCAUCCAAAAAUCAAAUCCAUUUUCCGCUCAAAAUUACCAAAAAAAAAAAAACCCACCAAAUAAAAAAUUAAAAAAAUGGGCUGUACACACACCGAACUCCCUCUCUCUCUCUUUCUCUCUCUAGCCCGACGACACCGAUGGCCGACCCGUCCUCCUCGCUGCCCCCUCCUCCGAUCCCUAGCCUCCUCCUCCCGCCAUACUCGCCGCCGCCUCCGCCUCCGCCCCCCGGCCCGGAGCAGCCGCCGCCGCCAUAGCAGCAGCAGCUGCGGAUCCUCUUCUCGUUCCCGAAGCGGCCGGCCCUCCGGGUCACAUCCGAGUACGACAGUGACAGCUCCGUCUUCCUCCAAAAGGUCUCGUGUAAGCUCCUCGACGGCCUCGCCAAGCUCAAGCUCUCCUUCUGCUACGACCGGAAGGGCGAGGUCGCGGAGCUCCGGCUAGCCUUCGUCUCCAAGCACCUCUCCCUCCACUACGACGUCGAAAAAGCGAAAGAACCUAGAAUCGUGUUGAGCAUCGUUGAAGAAGAGCCAGACCUUCAAUGAUGAAGUAGAUCUGGACCUUCAAUGGCAAAGAAGGUGCGCGUCGUUGAAAAAGAGCCGAAGGAGAAAGAUGAGAGCGGUGUACCUCUAAAAUAUUUGGAGAGGAAAAGUGAAAGGUCACGGAGAAAAAAUGAAAAUGGAAAGUGUUUGCACCUUAGCGGGGGAAUUCGUUUUCCUAAAAUAAUAGAUAACAUUUGUGUUGACAGGAAAGUAUUUUUCGUUGAUCAAAUUUUUUUUAGAGAACCAAAUGACUGAAAAUCCAAAAAAUACUUUCUCGUAAAAUAGUUUCAGUGAAACAAACACACCUUGAAGCCGUAGCACAACCCCACAAACAAAUGCUAACAAAAUGCUAUACUUCGACGCAGGCUUCGAUCUGACCGAAAAAAAAGAACUUCAGACUUCACAUCUUCAACUUGAGCUCGAGCAAAUCAUCAAACAAUUAAUCAAGCAUUGAAACAUUUAAGACGGAAAGAGCGAGCCUACAUGUUUUGAUCCAAGCAUGGCCUCUUCGAUCCACUUGGUUCACCCAAAAAAAGUGGAAUCCGAAGCUCUCUUUUGCGUGGACAUAAUUUUUCUUUUCUUUUGUAGAGUUUGACCAGAACUGAGAAAGUGUCGGAAUUUUGGGGGUGUUCACUCGCUGAAAGAAUGUUGCUUGUACAGCUUAAUAAGAACUGAGAAAGUGUCCGGAUUUUGGGAGCGUUCGCUCGAAAGAAUGUUGCAGAGAAAAGAACAAAUCAGUAGACAGUUUAUCCGCGAAAUCAAACUCAAGAGGGCAGAGAGAGAGAGAGAGGGAGAGGUUGCACGCAGGUCGGUUGUUUAUGGUCAUCUCGCCGGUAUCCUCCUGGUUCAUCGGUUGCUCACGGUGAUUUGCCGGUCGGAAAGAGGGAGGGUGGAGAGAGAGAGGGAGUUCAUCGGACAUAGAGAGCGAGGGUAGAGAGAGAUACGUGAAGAAAGAAAGUCAAGACUGAAAUUUUUUUAAAUUAGCGCAUCUUUUUCUCUCCUGAACGGGGGUCCGCAAAGACACGUGUCAUGUUCCCACCGCCUUUUUGUUGGACACGAUCCAGCACCAAACGUACCUAUUAUUUUCUUGAGGAGGGGGCGCACAAAUUUUGAAUCCCCGCCCGCCUAUGUGGAGUCACGUGUCGACUUUUGAAUGGUCUUACCCUUCACUUAUGUGGAGUGUAAGACUCUGCCAAUAUUUUUAUUUCUAAUUCUCAUUUUUUAAAAUUUUAAAAUUUCCUUUUUUUUGCUUUUUUGUUUUUAGAAAAGAAAAUAAAAUGAUAAAUAACAAAAAUACAUUUGACUAGUCAGUGAUGUCAGAAGCCCUUCUCUAAGAUAAAUGUGAUUAUUUUGGAUCAUUAUUCGAAAUAAAGUCAAUUUCAAAUUCUUUAUUUGAAAUUUUCUUCUAAACUUGGAUUAGGUUUUCUACCAAAGAGAGAGAAAUGGACAUAUGGUGCUCGCUGGUCGUGGCUUAAGAAGGCAACUGUUUGCAUUUUGUGGGGAUACGUAGUUUCCAUUAUCUUCCACGUCAUUAGAAAAACCAUGGGUUUGUCUUGCUCCCCAAGCAGGCAAAAAGUUCUCCUUUGCCAGCGCUGACGAUAGCCUAUUACGUGCCCUUUAAACAGGAUCACGAGAGUAGGCCUAUGAGUAAGACAAUCAGCCAUCGACACGUCACUCCACAGCCGUUCAAAAUGAUCACAACCAAAACACCUGCAGCCCAAACGCCCCGCCUCAUUUCUCUCUCUCGAAAAAAUCACUACCAGUCUCCCUGUUCUAUCCCCCCGCCCGUUCAUGGAGUCGUCAAUGUCCAGCUCCAACUCGACGCCAGACCCUAAAUAACUCCUCCGAAGCACCCACCCCCGUCAGCUGCUUUCCGAACUAGAGGCGAUGAUUUUCUCAAGGAUCGGCCGUUCGUUGUCGAGAUCUUCCCGCUCGAGGGUUCGUCGUCGUGCCUCCAUUUCUUCCCCUCUUUUCUUCUUCGUUCUUCCCGAGUCGAUUCGUUUAUUCCUUUUGCGAAUGUAUUAGAUUUUGUCUUCGCGUAUCGAUUGGUUUCGUUGUCCUCCGGUUGUAGAACGCAUUGUGCCGUGGCGGUGUACGAUCGGGCCCGUUGAAGGGCGCGUCAUUGGGAACGUCGCGCCUGGACGGUGCGCUCGGCGGAUUGGAUGGGAAGUUAGGGUUUGUCAGGGAAUACUUAGCUUCUGCCGGGGCUAUCAAGGCGUUCUCUGCUAAAUCUUAUUUAUCCCAUCUAAAUCGCGUUCUUGCUAAUCCCAGAGUCCACAGGUUUUUCUCCAGCGAAGUCCCGAAAAAGAAGAGUAAGUACAUUCUUCGUCGCGUUGAACCGUUCAAUCUCUGCCGAAACAAAGCUGGCGUCUUUCUUUAGCAGUCGCAGUCGAGAAGUUUUUGGUGUUUGCAAGUGUUGUCUUUGAGAGCUUUUUGGCUUUUGAACUCCGUGAAAAUGAGCUAAAUAAGUGAGUGGGUUUUGUUUUAUUGUGAUCUCUCAUAUAUCUGAUGUUAUUUCGCAGAUUAUGAGAAUUUCUAUCCGAAGGGGAGGAAGGAAGUUCCAAAAGGAGAUAAACAAAAAUCAGAGUCCAAAGGUAGAUUUUUUUUUCUCCAUGGUACAAAUUUCUAUGUGUGCAUUGAAAUCUUUGUUUUGGUCUGCCUUUUUGUCUUAUACCCUUUUCAUUGAAUUGAUUUGUCUAUUGGUUUCAUUCCGAUAAUCAGGUAUAUAAAAUUUCACAUUUGGGGUGACCAUUCACUGUCGAUCUUUGCUACAUCAUUUGUUGUUUGAUGAACAAUCGCCUGGCACUUAACUAGAGUAUGUGGUCAUGCUGGAUUGUUUACAUAUAAGCCACAUUCUGUAGUUUCAAGUUGGGCUUUCUGUCUGUUGCAACAUUGGAUUUGUUUCUUUAUAUCCUAUACGUAUGUCUUAUGUGAAGUUUUUGUCUCGCUUGGGAGGGUGUUGAUGUGAAAGUUUAGGGGAUUAGUUCUAGCUUCUCAGGACUUAACAAACUGUCUAAUGAGCAUGCUAAAGACAUAAUGUUGGUGGCUGCUUGCCUUCUAGGAGGUGUUCUCCUAGACCAUUAUUUUAGUUGGACAAUUCCUUUCCUGCUUGUACCCUUAAGCACUGUUAUGGGAAAGUACCUAUAUCAUGGGUAGAGACUGAGGCCCUUUUGGCUAAAUUGGUUGAGAUUGAGGAGUCGUUCUAAGAUGGACCCGAAGAAUGGUAACUUAAGUAAUUGCAGUAGGAUGAAAUUUGGUUGAGUGAAGAAAUGAGUUCGUUUAUGUAGGCAAUUUUCGAACCAGAUUGUUCUUUCUUGUCUGGAAUAGGAAAUGCAUGUUUGUUAUUUGCCCCUCAGUUGGUAUUCCUUACAAUACUAACAUUCACUUGAGUUUAGAUGCAAAGAUGGUUAUAUGGAUCGCAAAAUGAAUUAUAUGCACACUUCCACGCACUGCAUUGUAGUUCUUUCCAGCUUUCCACUCAAAUAAAUCUAUGUAAGGCAGUUCCCUUAAAGUUUUUACCCAAUUUUCAGGGGAUUCGAACACAGAUGAUAAUCAGGAGACUUUCAUGAAACAGUUCCAGAAUUUGAUCACGCCCUUGGUCGUGAUUGGACUGUUCCUUUCCUCCUUUUCCUUUGGUCCUCGUGAACAACAGCAGGUAGAUCUGCUAAUGAGCUUGCUGAUUUAUUUUUAUUUUUAUUUUUAUUUUUAUUUGCCAUAAUGUGCAUGCUUAGGUUCUUCUUCUUCUUCUUUUUUCCCAUGUUCAUAUUAUGCUGGUUGAACUGUGAUCUUUUUCUGAUUGGGGACAUGUAUGCGAUCUCCUCGUUACAGCAGUGCAAUCACGAUUGAGUCAUCUACAGACCAGAGAUUUAGCCUGUUUUCUUAUUCUUGUGUUUGUUGAAAAUUUAAAUUGCAGAUUAGCUUUCAAGAGUUCAAAAACAAGCUUCUGGAACCAGGCUUGGUGGACCAUAUAGUUGUUUCUAACAAAUCUGUAGCAAAAUUGUUUGUAAGAAAUUCACCAUCAAGUCAAACAAUUGAUGAGGUCAGUGAAGGACCCAAGAGUGGCAAUGGCAAUGUUGCAAGAGGGCAUGGAGGUCAGUAUAAGUACUACUUCAAUAUUGGAAGUGUUGAAUCUUUUGAAGAGAAAUUGGAGGAAGCCCAAGAAGCAUUAGGCGUUGACCCCCAUGAUUACGUUCCUGUCACUUAUGUCUCUGAGAUGCUCUGGUACCAAGAGAUAUUGAGAUUUGCACCGACUCUCCUGCUUUUGGGAUCACUCUUGUACAUGGGGCGGAGAAUGCAAGGCAGCCUUGGUGUUGGUGGCGGUAGUGGGAGGGGUGGGAGGGGUAUAUUUAACAUCGGAAAGGCUCAUGUUACUAAAGUGGAUAAAAAUGCCAAGAACAAGGUCAGUUUUAAAUGACAUAGUCGCCUUGCUUUCAUGCUGUAUCCUUUUCCUCUUUCUCCAUUUUGUUGUGGAAGGUUAAAGAUGUUUAAACCAGAAAAUAUGCGUCCUGUUUCAAUUCUGACUAGGUAUUCUUUAAAGAUGUUGCCGGCUGUGAUGAAGCUAAGCAAGAAAUUAUGGAGUUUGUACAUUUUCUCAAGAAUCCGAAGAAAUAUGAAGAAUUGGGAGCAAAGAUUCCAAAAGGCGCCCUUCUUGUUGGUCCCCCAGGUACAGGGAAGACUCUUUUAGCGAAAGCAACUGCUGGAGAGUCUGGUGUGCCAUUCCUAUCUAUGGCAGGUUCCGAUUUCAUGGAGAUGUUUGUUGGUGUUGGGCCUUCAAGAGUGAGAAACUUAUUUCAUGAAGCAAGACAGUGUGCUCCUAGCAUAAUAUUUAUUGAUGAAAUUGAUGCAAUUGGUCGAGCAAGAGGACGUGGAGGUUUUUCAGGUGGCAAUGAUGAGCGUGAGAGCACACUCAACCAGUUGCUCGUAGAAAUGGAUGGCUUUGGUACCACCUCAGGGAUAGUCGUGCUUGCUGGCACUAAUAGGCCUGACAUCUUGGACAAAGCCUUGUUGAGGCCUGGUCGAUUCGAUAGGCAAAUCGCCAUUGAUAAACCUGAUAUCAAAGGCCGUGAACAAAUAUUCCAGAUAUACCUGAAAAAGAUAAAGCUUGAUCGUGAACCUUUGUAUUAUUCACAAAGGCUUGCAGCCCUUACACCUGGAUUUGCUGGAGCGGACAUAGCUAAUGUUUGUAAUGAAGCUGCUCUCAUUGCUGCCAGGAAUGAGUCAACUAAGGUCACCAUGGAACAUUUUGAGGCAGCUAUAGAUAGGAUUAUAGGUGGUUUGGAGAAGAAGAACUUGGUAACGUAGCUUCUCUCUUUUCCACUCCAUCAUGCCGGUUCUUGGUCUCUUCUUAUUUUUUCUAUUUCAGCAACACUGUUCUCUUGCACACGUGUUUUUUGUUUCUAGGAGCCUCUCUCACAAUGACCCAACUAAGAAUUCCAUAUUGUCUUUGGCUGGCUUGCUAUGCUGACUGCUUAUUGAAUGGAAACCAUCAUAGCUUGUCUUCACUGAUGAUUGAGAU